rnacentral:rRNA from 1 species
GAUGAACGCUCGCGGCGUGCUUAACACAUGCAAGUCGAACGGAAAGGCCCUGCUUUUGUGGGGUGCUCGAGUGGCGAACGGGUGAGUAACACGUGAGUAACCUGCCCUUGACUUUGGGAUAACUUCAGGAAACUGGGGCUAAUACCGGAUAGGAGCUCCUGCUGCAUGGUGGGGGUUGGAAAGUUUCGGCGGUUGGGGAUGGACUCGCGGCUUAUCAGCUUGUUGGUGGGGUAGUGGCUUACCAAGGCUUUGACGGGUAGCCGGCCUGAGAGGGUGACCGGCCACAUUGGGACUGAGAUACGGCCCAGACUCCUACGGGAGGCAGCAGUGGGGAAUAUUGCACAAUGGGCGGAAGCCUGAUGCAGCAACGCCGCGUGCGGGAUGACGGCCUUCGGGUUGUAAACCGCUUUCGCCUGUGACGAAGCGUGAGUGACGGUAAUGGGUAAAGAAGCACCGGCUAACUACGUG